UACAGAGGUCCCGAGCGUUGUUCGGAUUCACUGGGCGUAAAGGGUGCGUAGGUGGUGAGGUAAGUCGGAUGUGAAAUCUCUGAGCUCAACUCAGAAAUGGCAUUGGAAACUGCCUUGCUUGAGGGUUGGAGGGGGGACUGGAAUUCUCGGUGUAGCAGUGAAAUGCGUAGAGAUCGAGAGGAACACCAGUGGCGAAGGCGAGUCCCUGGACAACACCUGACGCUGAGGCACGAAAGCUAGGGGAGCAAACAGG
rnacentral:rRNA from 1 species